rnacentral:rRNA from 1 species
UUACGGGAGGCAGCAGUCGAGAAUUUUUCACAAUGGGCGCAAGCCUGAUGGAGCGACGCCGCGUGGGGGAUGAAGGGUUUCGAUCCGUAAACCCCUGUCAUUUGCGAACAAACCUUGAAGGCUAACACCUUUCAAGUUGAUUGUAGUGAAAGAGGAAGGGACGGCUAACUCUGUGCCAGCAGCCGCGGUAAUACAGAGGUCCCAAGCGUUGUUCGGAUUCACUGGGCGUAAAGGGUGCGUAGGUGGCCAGGUAAGUUUGGUGUGAAAGCUCGGAGCUCAACUCCGAAAAGUCAUUGAAUACUAUCUGGCUGGAGGGUCGGAGGGGAGACUGGAAUUCUCGGUGUAGCAGUGAAAUGCGUAGAUAUCGAGAGGAACACCAGUGGCGAAGGCGAGUCUCUGGACGACUCCUGACACUGAGGCACGAAAGCUAGGGGAGCAAACAGGAUUAGAUACCCCGGUAGG